UGGGGAAUUUUGGACAAUGGGCGCAAGCCUGACCCAGCAAUGCCGCGUGCAGGAUGAAGGCCUUCGGGUUGUAAACUGCUUUUGUACGGAACGAAAAGCCCUUCUCUAAUACAGAGGGGUCAUGGCGGUACCGUAAGAAUAAGCACCGGCUAACUACGUGCCAGCAGCCGCGGUAAUACGUAGGGUGCAAGCGUUAAUCGGAAUUACUGGGCGUAAAGCGUGCGCAGGCGGUUUUGUAAGACAGAGGUGAAAUCCCCGGGCUCAACCUGGGAACUGCCUUUGUGACUGCAAGGCUGGAGUGCGGCAGAGGGGGAUGGAAUUCCGCGUGUAGCAGUAAAAUGCGUAGAUAUGCGGAGGAACACCGAUGGCGAAGGCAAUCCCCUGGACCUGUACCGACGCUCAUGCACGAAAGCGUGGGGAGCAAACA
rnacentral:rRNA from 1 species